UACGUAGGUGGCAAGCGUUGUCCGGAAUUAUUGGGCGUAAAGCGCGCGCAGGCGGUCCUUUAAGUCUGAUGUGAAAGCCCACGGCUCAACCGUGGAGGGUCAUUGGAAACUGGGGACUUGAGUGCAGGAGAGAAGAGUGGAAUUCCACGUGUAGCGGUGAAAUGCGUAGAGAUGUGGAGGAACACCAGUGGCGAAGGCGACUCUUGGCCUGUAACUGACGCUGAGGCGCGAAAGCGUGGGAGCAAA
rnacentral:rRNA from 1 species